rnacentral:lncRNA from 1 species
AGGCAAUCAUUGAAGUACAACUGAGGAAAAUCGAGAAAUUAAUUAUUGAAAACAGAGAACAACAAGUAAAGUAAAAUUAUUUUAUUUCGCCGGGCUAGUUUAUGCAUCUUAAAACCCAAAGGUCUAUGUUUAAACCCCCUCCUUUACGGGACAGAAAAGGGGUCUUGGAUGAUAUGGGAUAUAAUUACUAGUGAGUAGUGUAAUAAUAGACAUAAAAAUAUUCCUCGAUUGUGAUUGGUUGCUUUCAGUGUUAUUAACAGCAGUGCAAAAUUCUGUAACAACAAUGCAAAAAUAUGUAACAAACGGAUCUGACUUGUGAAAAAAAAACAAUGUGAUCUAAAAUGAACCAAUCAGCUGAAAGCAGUCGUCAAAUAACGGUCACAGAUUGCUUCAUAAGUGAAAGUUGAGUUCGGGUAGAAAAUAUGGCAUUUAAUUUUAUCUAUUUUUAAAAUGAAAAGACAUUACCCCAAACGUAUAUUCGGGAAAUUUUCAAUGUGAUAUAAUGUGAUAUAACAAUGCAGGGAAACUUUGUCAGUUUCUCAGUGGACGUUUCGCUAUAAACGUAAGCUAAAACUACACUUGUCUCGAACAUUUUUAUGUAUGUUAUUAUUACGUAAUAGAAUGGUUUAUGGUGAAAUUUGCAUCAAAAUAGCAGAAGUCCGAAGGACGAGUGCUUAUUGAGGUCUUUGAAAAACUCGCUCGUGCAUGCUUUAUCCAAAUUGCACUCGAAACCAUCCUAUUCCCCAUAGAGCGUUUGCACUCAUUCCCCAGGGACCAACUCAACAAAAGUCAUGGCGGCCAUGUUGGUAUUCCAGACAAAAGAGUCUAAUUAAAAUUAUUUUGAAUUGAACACGAACAUGGCGGCUGUGACGUCAUGUGCAAACGCUCUAUACUAACUUGUAAUUGUUACAGUAGGUAGUGUAGUACUUUUAAUGUGAUUUAUUUUAUCCUUAAAUCAAACUUGCUUUACUAGACACAAGCUUUUAAUUAAUUUUAUGGAUGCAAUUUUGACCGGGGGGGGGGGGUGUAAACUGCUUAUAUUUGUGAAUGACUUUAUAUUUUUUUGAAUACUUGCAGUUUCGCUUGAGUCAGACGUCUUCUUCCUCACUAGCUAACGAGGAAGAAAACGAACAUAGACAACUUGCUGCUUACAUCAAUCCAUACUUUAGGGUGACACGCAAAGAGGUAAUUAACGGUAGUUCUCACGUUACAUUAUAUUGUGAAAACAUCAGGCAUAAAUUGGAGUUUCAGUGACGUAGCCAGGAGUUUUAAUCAAGGGGGAAGGGGCGAAAAAAUCCCAGGAGGGGGCGAAGCAAUUUGAUAAAGUUUGUUUAUUAUGUGAAAAUGUUUUUGGCCGUCUUAAAUUCUAGAGUCGGUGUAUUAAGUGCCAUUUUAAAUUUUUAAGGAUUUUACGCGCGCUAUUUUAUCGCGUUUUGGUGAUUUUAGAUAACCGUUUAACACAUAACAAUCCUACGUCACUGCGGAGUUUCCUAAUAUUUAUCAACGGUUAUGGCUUUUUCGAGUCACAUUUGCCGAGUCACUAAUUAGUAUUUCUUUUCCCAACAUACAAAAAAUUUCCAUUUCCAAACAUACAAAAAAUUGUUCCGGAUAUAUCAUAAUUUUUCCGAAAUUUUAAAAUUUUUCGCGACAUAUCACAAUUUUUCCCCAAAUACGGACAUUUUUUCAAACAUAUCGUGAUUUUUUAACUUUUUCCAUAAAUUCAGUCGCGCGGGCACGCCAAGAAAGUUGAAUGUAGUUCUACUUUCAUGCAUGGCGUGUCCACGAGCAUUCAGGCGGACAAAAAAAUGCACGGAUAUAGACAACUACAGAGAAAAUUGAGUAAUGUUCGCUCCGCCCGCUCGGGCAAAGCGACUGCAAUGGAAAAUUUCCUUUAAGAACAUAAAAACGCUAUGCAAACUGACGGCAGAGGUAGCAAAAUGGGGUCAAUAUAAUUAAUAAAUAGAACCAAAAGUUGAAGGAUGACAGUUUUGCCCAAAGAAAUAAUCAAUUAGUGCAUGCAAUCCAAGUGUGCGACAAGUAAAAUGAUAAGAAAUUGUUUAUUUUUUGUCUUUGAAUGUAUCGAGAGAAACCAACUUUCGCGCUUAGAAAUUCUACAAGAAUGUUUGUAAUUUGGCAUGAAAAGUAGCUAGCUAAAAUUCCGCUUUAAACGCGGAUAACGAUGGACUCGUUCGCUUGAGCGCUGAGAGGGAAUCCUCUCCUGGACGCAGCAAUGAAUAUAAGCAGGAAAUUUUAAGAAAUCUUUUGUCCCUUGAAGUCAUGAUUCAAAGUUCGUCUCUUUGUUUAGUGUCCUGGUGACAAUGAAGAUACAAAGCUUCGGAAAAAUCUUGGUCAGCCUCAUCCAUUUGAAAAGCCACCAAAAGCAUGUAA